rnacentral:rRNA from 1 species
UACGUAGGGGGCAAGCGUUGUUCGGAAUUACUGGGCGUAAAGCGCGUGUAGGCGGUUCGGUAAGUCCGCUGUGAAAGUCAGGGGGCUCAACCCUCGGAACCGGUGGAUACUGUCGAGCUAGAGUACGGAAGAGGCGAGUGGAAUUCCCGGUGGUAGCGGUGAAAUGCGCAGAUAUCGGGAGGAACGACCAGUAGCAGAAGGCGGAGCACUCUGGGCCGGUACGUGGACGCCUGAGGAGCGGAAAGCGA